CCUACGGGUGGCAGCAGUAGGGAAUUUUCGACAAUGGGCGAAAGCCUGACCGAGCAACGCCGCGUGAGCGAAGAAGGUCUUCGGAUUGUAAAGUUCUGUUAUCGAGGAAGAACGCUGUACGUAUGACAUACCGUCCAACUGACGGUACUCUCUGAGGAAGCCCCGGCUAACUACGUGCCAGCAGCCGCGGUAAUACGUAGGUGGCGAGCGUUAUCCGGAAUCAUUGGGCGUAAAGAGGGAGCAGGCGGCCGGGAGGGUCUCUUGUUAAAAGGCAAUGGCUUAACCAUUGUAAGGCGAAGAAACCGGCAGGCUAGAGUGCGAAAGAGGAGAGUGGAAUUCCAUGUGUAGCGGUGAAAUGCGUAGAUAUAUGGAGGAACACCAGUGGCGAAGGCGACGAGCUGGGAAGAAACAGACGCUGAGGCCCGAAAGCGUGGGGAGCAAAUAGGAUUAGAUACCCUAGUAGUC
rnacentral:rRNA from 1 species